GGUUCCUGAAGCUAGGCCGGGCGCGCCUCCGCUUCCUUUUUUACAGGCCUUAUCUGAGUGGCUGUCUACCUGCGGUGGCUUUUUUCUCACGACUCAGAGAAGCGCUUUUCUGUCCGCAGCUGCCCCUGGAGGGUGACUUCCUGUGGACCCCCAGAAGGCAGCAGGCCUGACAGCCAUCCACACAAGGAAGCCCCAAGACCCUGGCCCAGGAGCCCUGGGGGCCCAGAUGCCGGAGCAAGGAGGUUGGUCCCAGAAGAUACACUUUGCAGCUCGGUAGGACGUGCCAGUGCUGCUGCCAGGCUGGGGUGUCUUUGAAAGCAGCCUCCCUCACCAGGAUCAGCACCCCUGCCUCUAGCUUGUUGGAUGUCACCAACUCUUUGUCUGUGAUGAACUCCCUCUCUACCAAGGCCCAUCAUUAAGCCAAACAGAUUGUACUGGUUUAAACAAGAGGAAAUAGAACCAGAUAGCUCUGAACAUUGUUUCUUUUAUAUACAACACAGCGAUGCACUUUUGUA